GACGAACGCUGGCGGCGUGCUUAACACAUGCAAGUCGAACGGAAAGGCCCUGCUUUUGUGGGGUGCUCAAGUGGCGAACGGGUGAGUAACACGUGAGUAACCUGCCCUUGACUUUGGGAUAACUUCAGGAAACUGGGGCUAAUACCGGAUAGGAGCUCCUGCUGCAUGGUGGGGGUUGGAAAGUUUCGGCGGUUGGGGAUGGACUCGCGGCUUAUCAGCUUGUUGGUGGGGUAGUGGCUUACCAAGGCUUUGACGGGUAGCCGGCCUGAGAGGGUGACCGGCCACAUUGGGACUGAGAUACGGCCCAGACUCCUACGGGAGGCAGCAGUGGGGAAUAUUGCACAAUGGGCGGAAGCCUGAUGCAGCAACGCCGCGUGCGGGAUGACGGCCUUCGGGUUGUAAACCGCUUUCGCCUGUGACGAAGCGCGAGUGACGGUAAUGGGUAAAGAAGCACCGGCUAACUACGUG
rnacentral:rRNA from 1 species